ensembl:lncRNA
AUGUGGAAGUCAUUAAGCUGGAGAAGGGGGGCUGGGGGGAGAGCGGGAGGCAGGGAGAGGAGGAGGAGGAAGGGGGUAGGGGCCAGAGUUCUGAGGGUUGCCAGUUGUCAGCCUGGGAACAUGAGCAAACUCCCUGGGAGCAAGCUAUGUCCAAGAAGAUGGAUGCCAUUCACACGUGUGCCCCUGGGGUGUAAGACUGUGGCGACGAAGGCUUGUCACCCCCACCCUCUACCCUGCUCAGUGUUUCGUCUGACAAUCCAAAGCACCACCAGAGGACCCCAGGGAAAAGAUAAAGCCAGCCCGAUGGAGCCAUCAAAAUUAUGGAAUGUCCACUUUGGAAGCUGUGAAACUUAAUUUAUGCUUCUGUUACUUCUGCUACUGUCACAUCAGGAUAUUACAUCAAGACGGAGAAGAAAACAGAAAAAUAAUCAGUGUAAGUCACGGAGAGACCCACUAUUUGAAUACUCACGAACUCUGUGCUUGGCCAAGCAUGAGUCGGCCACCCUUGUGAGCCAAGUUUCCUUUAUCAGGAAGUCUUUGACUAGAGGUCAGAGCAAGUAUUUGAAAUGACCUGGAGGCAGAUCCUAGGAGAGGAGGUGUCCCGGAGCCAUAAUAUCUCAAGAGACUAACUAAAUGGCAGCCGUUUGUGAUACAGUCUCCCCAGAUCUGUCUCAAACAUUUUGGAAACCAUUUCUGCUUGCUCUCAUGCCCUCUCUUGGGAGUUAUUAGUGCCUUAUGUCUAUUAACCAUUGUGUGAUGUGGCUUUUCUCUCCACACUGUGGCGAGGCAGCCAUGAAACCCCUCCCUUCCCAGGGGAAGCAGAGACUCUGGCUUUGUGAGGAGGCCAGAGUGAGGCAUCUGGGGAGGUGAGGGCAGCUUCUUGUUAGGGGCUAAGAAUGAGAGUGUCUGGUGAGUUCCCUGUCCUCAGAGGGUGUGUGCUGUCAGGGGCAAGGUAAUCCCUAGUGGGAGGCGGAGGGGCCUGGAGACCAGGAGAUUCGGGAAUGGAGCAAAGCUACUCCACCUCUAUUGGUGAUCAAAGAAGAGGUUGAACUGGUACAGUUGAACCUGACGGAAGAUGGGGUUUAGACCUACAUCAGUUCAGUUCAGUCGCUCAGUCGUGUCCGACUCUUUGCGACCCCAUGAACCGCAGCAUGCCAGGCCUCCCUGUCCAUCACCAACUCCCAGAGUUCACUCAGACUCACGUCCAUUGAGUCAGUGAUGCCAUCCAGCCAUCUCAUCCUCUGUCCUCCCCUUCUCCUCCUGCCUCCAAUCCCUCCCAAAGACUUUUUUUGGCGGGGGCAUGUGGGAUUUUAGUUCCCAACCAGGGAUUGAACCUUCACCCCCAGAGCACAGAGCUUUAACCACUGGACUGCCAGGGAAGUCCCAGGAAGGACUUUUUGAGUCAGUGGAUUUACUCAAGGAAGAGAUGUACUAAUGGGGUAUCUUGAUAAAUUGAUGGGUCAGAGAACUCAUCACUUUACCAGGACAGCUAACAGACUGAACGACAGCUUGACAAGUCCCUUCCAGCCCUUAGAUCCUGUGAGCUUUAUCUCACACCUCAUGUUCUCACCCCAACCUGUCCCUGACCCCUAGCCCUUAUUUGAUGCUAAUUUGGCCCAAAGGCAGAGCUCAGAGGUGAGCAUUUGGGAAACAUGUUUUCGAACAUUGAAAAUCAAGCUCGUAUGUUUCUGUGAUGAGCAUACAACUUUUGUUUCAUUGACCGAGUUUGAUUCUGAGAGGUAAUAAACAAUUAGUGAAGAACUGCUUAUAAUUGUCA